UGGUGCCUCAGGUUUUCAAAAUUUUAAUUUCAGAAUUUUUAGUAGGAAAACUGUAAGUGAUAAAAGUUUACUUGAUAGUCAAGUUCUUUUGCACUUCUUUCUGUCUGUUGUGUUUUGGGUGUUUGGCUUUUUAUAUGGAAUAUUAGAAAUUAGUACCACAGUUUCUUUUAAAACAUUUUGCACAAAAAAGAGAAUGAAUUGACUAUCAAGCAGUCUUGGGAGAAUUUUUUUUUCUGAUCCAGCUUCUGAACCCUCUAUUAAGCUUUGGCAGGUUACUUCAUAUCUUUUGUGUAAAAUGGACUACUUGUAGGAAUAUUAGAGAUUAAGGAGCAAAUAUUUAUAAUAAAAUAUUGAACUUAGAAAAUAAUUGAUUUACUAUUUGCAAAUUGUGAACAUCACCAAUGCUUUUAUUUUCUAAUAGAUUUCUUCUAAGUUUAUAAACAGUUUAUUUCUUCUCAGUCUUAAUUAUUGAUGAAAAUAAGAUGUUAAAUGACAUUUACAGAGAAUUAUUAAGCCUCAUUUUAUUUGUGGAUCCCAUGGGAUAAGAGGCUAUCUCUCUUUUCUUUGCUCUCUCCUACCCCAUCCAUUUAUUCAUCCAACAAAUAUUUAUUGAGCACCUGCUAUGUGUCUGGUACUGUUCUUGUUCCUGGCCAGUUUGAUGGAUGGACAUGCUGUUUAUUGGAGAAAUGGUAUGAGAAAAUAAUCAAGACGAUUUAUCUUGGACUAAGUAGUUUCUGUACUUACUAGAAAGGGUAUUGUGUGGUAAAUCUGCCUCCAGACUGAAAUACAUUGAGAAAGAUGGGAUGCUGCCCAAAUGCCAUUCACUUGGGGACAGUUGUGACCUUACUCAUCAUUACUUGUAACCAUGAAUUGAGCUUCUGAUAUGUUUAAAGCAGAGGACUAACCCUGUGAGGAAGGGACUUCUUACUCAAAUAGUUGAGUAAGAAGUAAUGAAUAACAAGUAGUUCUUGCUCUUAUGAAACUCCUUUUUCAGUGGGAGCAUUAAGAGGGGUUCACCGUUCAUUAACGUUGACCACUUCCUCCUUGCUGGAAAUCCUUUCUUUGGCUUCUGGACCACACUCUUGGUUUUCCUCCCACCUUACUGGCAUCUUCAGCCUAGUUGUCUUUGCUCAAUUCCACUAAGUAAUCUCAUCCUGUUGUAUGGCUUUUGAAUGGUAAUAUAGAUGCCUGUGACUCCUACAAUUGUAUUGCUAGCCCUGACCUCUCUCUGAAACAAAACUUAGGCAGCUGCCUACUUGAAAUCUCCACUUUCAGAUCUUCAACUUAACAUCUCCAAAAACAAGCCUUUCUAUUCUUCCCCAGACUUGCUUUUCUCUGUCUUUCCCAGUAAAUGGCACAGGUGGUCAAGCCCCAUACCUGGGCCCCAUCCUUUCCUUACUCCCUACAUUAGGCCAUAAGCCAGUUCUGUCCUGUCUGUCUCCACAACACAUCUGAGUAUGACCCUUUCACAUCUGUCUUUGUGGCUGCAGCCCUGAUCCAGACAACCAGUGGCUCUCACCUUGCCUUCUUAGGAGCCUUGUAAUUGGCUCCCUAUUUCCUCUCUCAUCCCCUUACACUUUGCCACGCACACAGAGGCCUUAGCAAUCUUGGAGAAAAAAAUUAAUCAGUCCAUGUCACAUCCCAGUGGUGGUUCUCCAUGGUACACGGAAUAUAAUUUGAACAGCUUUCCUUGGCCUCUGAGGAGGCACACCAUGACUGGACCCUUUUUGUUUUUUAUCUCAUCAUUUAUCAUCUCCUACGACCCUUCUUUUACUUAUGCACAGUGGCUGCCAUCUCCAUUAGAAGAUAAGCUCCAGGGACCUUGUUCCUUGUCUGUUUGUUCACAGCAGAAUUCCCAGCUUCUAGGAUAGUUCUUAGUGCUUAGUGUUGAGUUACUUUAGGGCAGAUGCCAUUUUAUACACACACACACACACACACAUACACAUAUAUAUUUUUUAAAGAUUUUAUUUAUUUUUAGGUUAGAGAGAGAGAGCAUGAGCAGAGGAAGUGACAGAGGGAGAGGGAGAAGCAGACUCCCCGCUGAGCAGAGAGCCCGAUGUGGGGCUUGAUCCCAGGACCCUGGGAUCAUGACCUGAGCUGAAGGCAAAUGCUUAAACAUCUGAGCCACCCAGGUGCCCCUAUAUAUAUAUAUUUUUUUUUAAGAGAGAGAGCACGUGUGUGUGUGAGAGUGGGGGAAUGGAGGGGCAGGGAGAGAAUCUCAAGCAGGCUCCACGUCCAGCAUGGAGCCUGACAUGGGGCUUGAUCUCACGACAUUGAGAUCAUGACCUGAGCCAAAAUCAAGACUCGGACGCUUAACCAACUAAGCCACCUGGGCACCCCCAUUAUACAUUUUGAAAGUAGCUACUCAUGAUCAUUCUGGAAUAUAAUUCUAUAAAUUUAAUUCAGGUGACAUUUGUUGAAUGUCCACUAUUGUGCAAAUAAUUAAGGUCUGUACAGAAACAGAAAAAAAAAAUCUUUCAAAAAGUUUGGGGUUUUUGGGCAGAAACAACUAAGUAUAUAACAAGACUAUCAGAAAGAUAGAAGCAUAAGAGAAACCUAGACGAUAUUAAAAUUAAGUAUAUCAGGUAUUCUGGCUUACAAAUAACUUUUGGUGUGUGGAUAUUUUUUAAAUUGGAGUUUGAUCUAAAAUAUGAUUUGUUUUAGGUAGAUUUCUUUUCUGCCUAUUGUGUUGGAGAGAGGAUGAUAAUGGUGAUGAUGACAAGAAAUAAAGAAGAGUGAUAAAUAAUACUUAAUGUCAUUUGUACUUAAAUAAUUUCAUUUGUGUGUCUGGCACUCUGCUGAAUCCUUUAUAUGUCUUAAUCUCAUUUGAUCCUUAUAAUCCUGUGAGGAAGGGACUGUUAUCAGCCCAUUUUACACAGAAGGAAACUGAAACUUGACCUGAUUAAUUUUCUUGCCUAAAGUCACAAAGCUGGUAAGCAAAGGAGGCAGCAGUUGAAUUCUAUCCUGUUUGACUGUGAGCCACUCUGUUUUAUUAUAAUCUGCAGGACACCUUGCUAAUUUUUGUGGAAGGAAAGUGACAGAAUCUAGUUGGAGGGAAAGAGAUCCCUUCUAGUGAUGUGCUGCUUGAGUUUAGGAAAGAACCUUCUAUUUAUUAGCAAUUGUUGCUUCUUCUAGCUUUUCCCCAUGUUGGUUCUCAUUCAGUAAUGUGUUGAAGGAGAGAAGGUGUUUUCCUUCUUGGGUUGGUUUCUUGAACUGAUACUUUGAGAGAGUGGGUGUGAGUGGGAAGGCUUUCUAUGAAUGCUCAUGGUCUGGGCUGCGGUGCAUGACCUGACAUUGUGGUGCGCCCUGGCUGUGCUGAGGGAUCCAUCCCUUCCCAUUUCUAGGUUUGACAUGACUGAUGAACACUGGUCCAUGACCAGCCUGGGCGCUGAAAACUCUUGGAACGCCACCUCGUGGUUUGGUGGUCAGGUUAGAACUGAACUCCAAAUGGUAGCCCCUAGUCACAUGUGGCUUGAAGAGUUAAAUUAAAAUUAAUUAAAAUGAAGUAAAAUUGACAUUUUAGCUCCUCAGUUGCAUUCGUCGUAUUUCAGUGCGCAGUAACCCCAUGCAGCUAGUGGCUAUCUUGUCGGACAGUGCAGAUACAGGACACUUUCAUCAUUGCACAAAGUUCUGUUGCACAGUCUAGUCUAGAAUAUGUCAGGGUGUGGCUUUGGGAGGUCCAUCAGAUGAUUUUAAUGAGGUCGAUGGUGCUGUGUGUUUGUGAAUCUUGUUGCCCGCCUUUCCCACCUCCCAGCUCCUCCCCCAGGAUUGUGAGUGAAUGGACACUUCAGGGAAUAUGUCCCUGGGGUGUGCUAUCUUCACCGCAGUCUAUAGAAGAGCUUCCUGACCUGUGUGUUACGGGUGUAUUGGAGGUAUGGAUUCUCUGGACUCCCGAGUAACUGGGGUACACCUGUGCCCUCAUGUUCCACACAAAUACUUGCUUGUUUUGUACCAUGAUGUGGUACAUGAUACGGCCCCCUAAGUAGAACAUUUCUCUCACCUGUUCCAACCCAACUCAAGAAAAGAACCAAGAUCUGACAAGCUAUUUUGAAAUGAUCUUGCCCUUAGGUUAAGAAUGCAAUACAAUUACUGAGUUAAUACUCAGUAAUAGAUUUCUUACGAUUUAUAACUUAGAUGUGUUAUGAAAUAAUUUUUUAAGUCUAUAAAAAUUUAUUGAUAAAAUGUCACCAGCCUUUUCUACACUUUUCAGUGUCAAGUAAAUUAUAUUAAAUGUGAGUUAAAUUUUUAAUAUUCAUUAAAAUGCCUUCAUCCUCAUAGGAAUCUAAUUCAUACCAGCCCUAGGCUCUUCAUAUGUGUGAAUAUAAAGCAGCAUAUUUGAUGGAAUGAGAGCCCUUGGAUUUCUGUAUACAGGAACUAAGUUGUGUUACGUAUAUAGUUUCGAGAAUAUAAUUUAUGCUCUAAGAAAGUAAGUUCCUCUAAAAACUUUACUGAAACUUUUUUUGCCAAACCUUGAACCAGAUCAAUGAAUUGUUGCAAUAAGUAUUUGCAUGUAAAGCUGUUCAGGCAAAAUAAUAUAAUAUGUGACACACAGCAGAUUGUAAUGCCACUUUAAUAAAUGAAUGUGCUCUAAACUUAACUGUGUCCUCAAUGCCUCAAAUUCUUCGCUGUGUUAAUGUGUUAUCCCAGCUACGUUGAUUUGAUUUUACACCAAGGAAUUUUUUUAGGCUGUCUUAAGGGGAUACUAUUGCACAUAGUUAUACACUGACCUUUUCAUUAACAUCUUGCAUCUUUUGAUUUUAAAAACCAGUGUUGGAUAUUGAUUUUCUUCAUUUUCACCCCAAACCUUGGGUUUUUCUGGCUUAUAGUGAGGUCAGACCUCUCGUGUUUGACCCUGCCUGAUGUUGGAGAAACUCUGUCCCCAAAUCAAUAGGAAAAAAACAGGCAGGAAAUGAUAUUAGGAGGCUAUUUGUUGGUUUCCUAAGCCACUAGCAACCAGAUGAAAAUGAUGCAUCUGGAAAAAAGACAAAUGAACUCACUUUUAUUAUUAUCCUCACUGUGCCGGUUUCUCUGUACAUUUCUUGUCACUGUGAAAAAUAAGAAAGAUUUGCCGAUUUGUGUUAAGUACAUCGCUGAGAUAACUAAGUAUUUGGCAGCCUUAACAAAUUGCAGGAAACCAAUUUAAGCUGGAAAUAGCACGGCCCAAACUAAAUAGCCAAUUUAGGGAAACAGAUUCAUCUAUAUGUUCUAUGUGUUUUUCUCCCAGAAUCUGGCCCUCUUAGUUAUUUUUAAACAGCUCUUUAAGGCCUAUUUAGACAUAACACAGUAGGGAGAGAUCACAGUAAACAAGUUGUGCUUGUUCCUUUGACUUGAGUUACAAGAACGGAGUAUCUAGGUUUCCAACCUUUAAAAUACGAAACUUUGUUGAUGUCAGUUUCUCAACUCUGCACUUCUUGUGCCGUAAUAGAUAAUUUAUCUUGCCAGUUCCUAAAAGGAAGUUAUGUGUACACUAUUGACUUAAAGGUUUUAAAUCAAAUUCUCUAGUCGGUACAUUCUGCUCUUAAAAAUAAAUCCACGGUCUACGUCUAACGGAUGGUUGAACUCACAUUGUUAAUUUCAUCCAUCAACAAAUACUAGCAUGGCAGCGAUACUUGGCUUCAAGGAAUUGUUAGUUUGGUCAAAACCUAUUUAACAUUAUAGUGUAGUAGAUAAGUCCUAGUUUAGUACCCUUCACCUGCUCAGUUAAUAUUUUUGCGUUGGUGAAUAUGUAAGGGAGAUAGAAUGUGUAAGAAGUAUAGAAAGUGUUUUAGGAACUCAGAGAAGAAGGUCAAGAGCUUGGGUAGACAGGUCACCGGGGGAGGUGGGGGUGUUUGUGUUGAAGGUGUUCAGUGGUAUCGGUACACAGACCUGAAUAAUGUGGAUGAAGGGUACAUGUAGGGGUCUCAUGUGAGGAAGGUUGGGGAAGUUAAGGAGUUUCCUUUUAUCCCAUAGGGCCAAGUGGCUCCUGAGCACUUGCAUUUAUUUUAUUUUUUUUAUAUUUUUAAAGAUUUUAUUUAUUCAUUCAUGAGAGACAGAGAGAGAGGCAGAGGGAGAAGCAGGCUCCCAAGGAGCAGGGAGCCCGAUGCGGGACUCGAUCCCAGGACCCUGAGAUCAUGACCUGAGCCGAAGGCAGACGCUUAACCGUCUGAGCCACCCAGGCGCCCCCUGAGCACUUGCAUUUAAUCUUAGGAUGCAAGUAUAGAAAGUUGCAUUCGUUGCUACUUUUCACUUAUACUCAGAUAUUAAUAAGGCUUUUAUGGCUAAAAAUGUAGUGAUUUUCUCAUUGAUAUUUUUAUAUUUAACAAAUCUAAAUUGUAAGAAUAUAUGUUUUCUACUAGAGUACUAAAUAAAAUUUUCAUUUUCGUGAAAGGAUAAGCAGCCCGUAAGCAUUUUUAUUUGCCCUUAAUUGGCCCUAUGGCAAAAAAAAUAAAAUGAAAAAAACACAAAGUUGCCCUCAGCUGCUUGGGGCAGUGUAGGGCACGACAGACGAUUUCUGAGCAGGGCAGGUGAAACAAAGCAAAUGGGUUCUUGGAUAAAGUACAGGAUGCAUUGGAAAUCAGAGAUAGGGACGACUGCCAUGCAUGGUGGGGAUGGAAGAGGAAGAAGGACUGUGGGUGGAUCUGGUGCCUGAGGCCACAGGGCUGGUUAGUGGUGGUCCUGGACUUGAACUUCAGUCCUUGCUCCCUCUGGUCUAGGGCACCUUCCCUUGUGUCCCUUGAUUUGUCACUCUUGUGUUGUGCUUAUUUUUGAGAAACCAGCACAAAUUUAAACCCACUUUAUUUUAAAAUUGAGAGCAAUGGUUCCAUCUUAAAAAUGGAACAAAAAAAUCAUUGACAGUAUAGCUUACAUUCCAUGGUAUUUUGGGAUGGUGAAAGGGGAGUCAUGCAGAAAAGAAAAAGCUCCAGCAGUAGAGGAAGGGAAUUAGAGAGAGAUGCUUAGUAGGUUCUGAAAUGUCACUGAGUCAUGCCUUCCAGUAGUUUUUUGUGACUUAGGACUUCUGCCCUUUGGUUUCUGAGUUAAUUAGAUUGACCACUGGCUGAGCUGCUUUUUGUGAAAUCUUUGGAGGCCCCUGCCCUGUGACUGGUGUAGCAUAUUUGCAUUAGGGCUUCCAAGGGGUAUGAAAUCAAGUGGGCCAGAAAUUCCUUACUUGUUCCUCACUUACUAGAAAGAAGAAGCUAUUUUGUUGGGUGCAUUGCACGCUGCACAUUAGAAAUAUAGUAACGCCAUGGGGUCACUGUAGUCAGGAGCUGGAAGGAAGGAACGUCAGCGACCACAGGGUAAUAAAGAGAAAAGCUGUAUUUAAGAAACGCUCCACUUUUUGCUGCCAUAGAUUUUGACGCUGAAGUGAAUCAUAGGACAGUGGAUUGUGUUUUCUCAUAGAACAAGUGUUGUUAUUGGGCAUAACAAUCAAAUAAAUCAUAGCUAUCACUAAUGAUAUAUCAUAAACCACAAAGAGAAAAGAACUCUAAAGUAUAAAUUUUAUAAUCAUGCUUCAAGAGUUAUAAAAUAAAAUAUCAGGUAGUGUUUAUAUAAGCAGCUCUAACGGAUUAUAAAGUGAAGGACAUACAAUACCUAAAUAUACUACCUUUGAUUUAAAUUUAAUAUGCCAGUUGUAAAAUAAACACUUGAUUAACAGUAUUUUUGCCUUUCUUAGAAUUUGAUAGACUUCGAAGGCAUCAUCUGGAUGGCCCAGAUCUUGUAAAAUAAAUUGCCCAGGAGAGUUUCAGAUGUACAUUUUUCUACUGAAAGCUGAGGAACCAGUAGUUUCUGUGUUGAUGAAACAGCAGGGAGCACCUAUUGUGGUGUGCGCAUUCAUGCAAAAUCUAGCCCUCUUGGAAAAUGAACAAGAUCAUUGCCAAAGGGUAUUCAUCAUGCAAUCUACCCACAAGAAAUUUUGAAUGGAAUCAUUAUCAAAUAACUUAAAUAAAACAGUUAUUUCCUGA